GGCUCAGGAUGAACGCUAGCGGCAGGCUUAAUACAUGCAAGUCGUGGGGCAGCAUGAGUAGCAAUACUUGAUGGCGACCGGCAAACGGGUGAGGAACACGUACACAACCUUCCUUCAAGCGGGGAAUAGCCCAGAGAAAUUUGGAUUAAUACCCCAUAAUAUAUUUGAUAAGGCAUCUUAUUAAUAUUAAAGCUUCGGCACUUGAUGAUGGGUGUGCGGCUGAUUAGAUAGUUGGCGGGGUAACGGCCCACCAAGUCUACGAUCAGUAGCUGAUGUGAGAGCAUGAUCAGCCACACGGGCACUGAGACACGGGCCCGACUCCUACGGGAGGCAGCAGUAAGGAAUAUUGGACAAUGGACGAAAGUCUGAUCCAGCCAUGCCGCGCGAAGGAUUAAGGUCCUCUGGAUUGUAAACUUCUUUUAUAUGGGACGAAAAAAGGGCAUUCUUGUUCACUUGACGGUACCAUAUGAAUAAGCACCGGCUAACUCCGUG
rnacentral:rRNA from 1 species